UAUUCACUUUUCAUUUAUGCCACAGCUUGGAUAUCCUUAUAUUGAUUGUGGUCAAGUUUAUGGCAAUGAAAAAGAGGGAAUUUGAGUUAAUGAUAGAAAGUAAAAAUAUAGGUUUUUCAUAGACGUCUCCUGUAUUACUCAUGUUAUUAUCAAUGGACUUGUUAAUCUAUCACUUGCCUAGACACAAUAUAAAAGGGUUUCCAUUUUUAUGGUUUUCGCUCGAGAUCAAUCUUUCAAAACAUGUGUUCUACUAAUAUUUACUGCUUUCAUUUAAAACUAUGAUUUAUUCCUAUAGAAUGUGUAACGUGAUCAAUGUUUGUGUUCCUUUUUUUUACAUUAAUCUGUAACUGACAGUAUUACCUGUACUGACUAUUUUCCAAUUUAUUUAGAUUGGUCAAGUUUUGAAGAGGGUGUUUACAGAUGGUUUUGUCAAUAUAGGGAAGAUCUCUUUAUUACAUCCAAACUCUGGUGCACUGAUCAUGCUCUCAAGAUGUACCCGUGGCAUUUAACAAAACUCUAGAUGAGCUGGAACUUGAUUACAUUGAUCUGUACCUUGUGACCUAUUCAUCGGAAACCUGAUUCCAGCAGAUAACCGGAUGAAAAAUGUUGCUGGUAACUUUAAACCUGAUUCCAACAGAUAUACUUAGCACAUGGCAAGCAAUAGAGAAACUUUAUGAUUCUGGGGAGGCUAGAGAUAUUGGAUUUAGCAAUUUCUCUACUAAAAACUGGGAGUUCUUCUCGAAAUAACUCGUAUUCCUCCUAUUGUUAACCAACUGGAGUACCAAUGGUAAGAUUAGAGGGAAGGCAACAGUUUGUGAUGGGAGCUGGUAUUGGGAAAUGUGGUUUCUAAAGCUGUGAAGUUUGUCGGCUAGCCCAAGUCAUGCUUUUGUCGUAGUUAUGACUGAUUGAUCAUUACAGCUGCUGCAUAUAUGGCUGUGGUUUUGUUGAUAUAGUUACUUGCGCCGAAGGCUGAGGCAUCAUCCCACUGUAAUAAUGAUUAAACAAGUUUAAUUGUUAGCUAUGUCUUGAUGAACUUAACAGAAAUCAACAGGA